rnacentral:rRNA from 1 species
AUACGUAGGGAGCAAGCGUUGUCCGGAAUUACUGGGCGUAAAGGGCGCGUAGGCGGGUAUUUAAGUCAGAUGUGAAAGCUCCGGGCUCAACUUGGAGAGUGCAUUUGAAACUGGAUAUCUUGAGGGCAGGAGAGGAAAGUGGAAUUCCUAGUGUAGCGGUGGAAUGCGUAGAUAUUAGGAGGAACACCAGUGGCGAAGGCGACUUUCUGGACUGUACCUGACGCUGAGGCGCGAAAGCAUGGGGAGC